AGCUGAUCCAGCAUGCCGCGUGUGUGAGAAGGCCUUCGGGUUGUAAAGCACUUUUGUCCGGAAAGAAAUCCUUGGCUCUAAUACAGUCGGGGGAUGACGGUACCGGAAGAAUAAGCACCGGCUAACUACGUGCCAGCAGCCGCGGUAAUACGUAGGGUGCGAGCGUUAAUCGGAAUUACUGGGCGUAAAGCGUGCGCAGGCGGUUUGCUAAGACCGAUGUGAAAUCCCCGGGCUCAACCUGGGAACUGCAUUGGUGACUGGCAGGCUAGAGUAUGGCAGAGGGGGGUAGAAUUCCACGUGUAGCAGUGAAAUGCGUAGAGAUGUGGAGGAAUACCGAUGGCGAAGGCAGCCCCCUGGGCCAAUACUGACGCUCAUGCACGAAAGCGUGGGGAGCAAACAGGAUUAGAUACCCCCGUAGUCA
rnacentral:rRNA from 1 species